rnacentral:rRNA from 1 species
CGCACGGGUGAGUAACACGUAUCCAACCUGCCGUCUACUCUUGGACAGCCUUCUGAAAGGAAGAUUAAUACAAGAUGGCAUCAUGAGUUCACAUGUUCACAUGAUUAAAGGUAUUCCGGUAGACGAUGGGGAUGCGUUCCAUUAGAUAGUAGGCGGGGUAACGGCCCACCUAGUCUUCGAUGGAUAGGGGUUCUGAGAGGAAGGCCCCCCACAUUGGAACUGAGACACGGUCCAA